GCAUCGAUGAGCUGGUCUGGUGACUGGGCGCGGCUUCAAACCGCGUGGCGCCUCGCGGCGCAGGGGUUCGAUUCCUCCUUCGGUGC
rfam:Eimeria tenella Houghton genomic scaffold, Eth_scaff502